UUUCUUUCUUUUUUUUUUUUUGGAUGCUUGAAAAUAAAGUAGCCAGGAGAUGAAAUUUUGCUGCACUGAUUUAAUUAAUUGUAGGAAUGAUACUGAUAGAGAAAGGUCUCUGUUUCUGUUAAUUGGUUUCUAUGAUUAGCUGUGAUGUUUAAAAAUGAGGCUCACUGUGAGAGGUACAAAAUCUGUGAUAGCAUUUGGGAGAAACGUUUUCAAGAUGGAUUAC
rnacentral:misc_RNA from 1 species